GUUAAUGAGAAUUAGGACAAAAUUUUUAACAAUUCUCAUCAAAUUCCAAAAAUGAAAAAUAAUAUUGUGAGAAAUAAAGUUUAAAUAUUUUAAUUUAAAGAAAACCAUAUUUAUCCGUAUUUUGCAAGCUUAUACUUUAUCCUUAACAAUAUCACAUUCAUUCAAACUCAAACAUAUCUGUCAAUUUGAGAUGAAAAGUUAUAUUUGAAUUCUACAUGCUAAAUAUUAAAUACAAGUUCACGUAAUUUUUGGUGUUAUAGUAGAUAAAUUCGAAUUAAUUAUAAGUGAUAAGAUUCUAUAAUAUCUCAACAGAUUUACAUUUUGCUUUUAUUUACUGAACUUCCAAUUAUUUUAGAGUUUUGAAAUAUAUAUAGGAUAAUAUCUAGGUAUGGAUUGAGACAAAAUUUGAAAUUUGAAUUUAAAGAUAAAUAUUUAAAAACAGAUAUUAUUAAUAAAAUCUACUAGAUACUCCCACAAAAAUAAUAAAUAAUUUUUAAUAUCUUAAAUGCAAACCUUGUGCUGGAAUAUUAUAUGCUGGAAAUUAUAUCGUUUGUGUAUAUCUAUUCUUUAAAACCAUUUUGAUUGUGGUUAAUUUAAAUUUGAGAGCGUGGAUAGGUUUAAAAAAUACAGUUCAAUUUAUAGAAUCAAAGAUACUACAUAUGUUUUAAAAAUAACUCACAAAAAUACCUAUACAUAAAUAUUACAUAUUACUUAUGUUCUGACGUCUAAUAAGGCAUCUUCACAAGAAUGUCAUCACUUUUAUAUGUAUGAGGAAACUAAAAUUGAAAUGGCAGUUUAAUUAAUAUGUGAAUCCAAUAAAAUAUAUACUCCUAUCAUAUAAAUAUUUAUAAUAAAUAUAUUUAUUUUUGUAACAGAAAGGAAAGAAAGAAGAGAAGAUAGGAGAGAAUAAAAGUAGGGGGAAAAACGUAUGGGAAAAGGUUUUAAAAAAAAAAAAAAGGUAACAGAUGAUAACCAAUUUUAUAUCUUCUUCUAUUUCGUCUAUUUUUGUUAUAGAAAAUUUUGACUUGAUCUCAUCUAUUUCAGAUAUCUUAUCAAACUCAAAUAUAUAGAUUAUAAGAUAAUGGGUAUUUUAGAAUCUUAUCUUUCUGAUGUGAUAUUCAAAUUUGAACUUGAACAAUAUUUGAGUUGGCAUGAACAUCCAACCUUCAUAACCUCUUAUAUAUAUAUACCCCUUCAUUGAGACAUAGAUCAUAUAACUUCUUCACUUUUUAUUGUUAAUCAUUUUCAGAUUUAGAUUUUGUUUAUCUCUAGAAAUUUUUUUGUGAUCAUCUCAUUACACGAAAUCUCUGCAAUGGAUAAAAAGAUUACAGGCCAUGCACAUAAAAUUUCUCUGGAUAAUUGCCAAGGUUCGACUGUAAAGAAAUGAGACGCUAAACCUGUCAAGGUACUCUCGCAUUAAUUUUGAUUCCCAUGUAUUCUUAAUUCAUCAUCUUCUUUGUUUUAUUUAGUUUUUGUUUUUUCAUAUAUCUUAAAUAUUUAAUGUGGAAUUAUGCAUCAAUAUAUCACCUUGCGCACAACAAUUUCAUCAAGUUAAUAUUUUUUUUCGUUGUGCUUCAUGUAUAAUAUCAAGUGCAAGAACUGACGGGCGAGAUCAAGGUAGAUACUUUGUUUUGGCAUUGAUAUACCUUUUUGGUUACAUAAUUAAAUUAUAUGUGCUUGAAAUAUGUUCUUACUAUAAAAUGACUUUACUUAUAAGCAGAAAUAGAAAAAUCAUACGUAGAAAGAUUAACACUAUUGAUUGGUUUUAAUUUGUGUUGAAAUUCAAUAAAAUUAUUAUAUUUUCUCUUUAUAUUAUUUGUUCUGAUCCACAUUUAGGUGUGUUUGGUAUGAAAGACAUGUAGUUGAUGAAUGAAAAAUAUUUUCAUAAAGAAAAACAAUAUAAGUUUAUUAACAACAAAACGGAUAUAAAAAAUAAUGAUUGAAACUUUGAAUAAGUAAAAAAUAUUACAACAUCUAUAUCUAUAUCUAUAUAUAUAAAAUAGGAGAGGUACAAGUAAUGUGGUUAAGCCAAAUG